rnacentral:lncRNA from 1 species
AAUAAAGCUAAUAAAAAACCUGACCACUGUUCAUCACAGCAAAUCAGGGUGCUGCUAGGAAACUGCCCCAUGUAAAGAAAUUAUAAGGAAAAUAAACCUGUAAGUGAAACCAUGCUAUAGGUGCACCAGCAAACCAUCCUGACAUUAAAGACAGAUAAGUAGUAAGAGACCAACAUAUCUGCAUCAGUAAUCCUCUAGUGACUUGAAUAUCAAAAAGGAAAUUCUACAGUGAGUAAAAUCAAGGGCAUAUUGUAGAAGCAGUGGCCUGCUUUGGCAAUCCUGACCUUGAUUAACAGCUCUUCUCCCAUGGGAAAGCACAUACCAAAGGGUAAGUCCAGCCAUAAAUACCUGUGCUUUGAUGUACAGCCCAGAAAACUGGGCUGUGAAUGUGUGUGGGAUGAAUGAUAAGAGCCAGAAACAUCAGCUCUACUUUUCCUGUUUUUGUGUGGUGACUUUCUCUCUCCUGCUGGCUGGCUGUCUAAUUGAUGCUAAAACUUGUACACAGAAGAAACAGGACAUUUAGACACAAGAAUAAGGAUUUCAUAAUGCACAAAAACUUUCUCUCAUAAGAAAACCACUGGAGCUCGUGAAUUUUGCUGUGCAAAUGGAUAAAUACUGACAGAAUACAUGUGGCUUGCAUCAGAAGAAGGGCAUGAGUUGAUAGAAGCAUUGUGGAAAAACCCAACCAUGCAAUCCCAGGAAGUACCAGUGGCAGUCAUUAAUUUAUCACCUACAAAAUCAGGAAACCAGAUGGGAAAGCAUUGUUCAGAAGAAGGAAUACAAUGCACUGAAUCUGUGUCGCAGUUUCUGGCAUUUUGGUGGUUUCAUAAAGGAUGUAGGAGGAGGAAGUCUGGGAACAGCUGUCCAGAAAAAUGGAUGUCCCAGCUCCUUCUCCAGCUUCAGCCAGUUUUAUAG